GAAAAACUGUACUUACAUGCUGUGAGUCAUGAAUCGCCAGACUGUCCUUGCAAAGUUGGAAUUGCCCCACUUUAGAGAAACAGACACCGGCAUUGUAGGCUAUACUCUCCGAGGAAACAGUCCUCUUCCUCCAUAAAAUGCGCUGCACACAUCUGAAUAUUUAGGUUGAACUGUUUUGGAA